AUGGGUGCUUCUGCUGCCUUCUUCUACCUCUUGCUGCCCCUCUGGGUUCAGGAUGCAGCUGCGGCUGGUCUUGGCUUCACACGAAGUGAUUUCCCACGGCGAUUCGUCUUUGGAACUGGAACCUCGGCAUAUCAAUACGAGGGCGCUGUUGCUGAGGAUGGCCGGAGCUCAAGCAGCUGGGACACUUUCACUCACGCAGGCAAAAUGCCAGACAAAAGCACGGCAGAUGUUGCUGCAGAUGGGUACCACAAAUACAUGGACGAUGUCAAGCUCAUGUCUGAGACAGGCCUAGAGGCCUAUAGGUUCUCCAUCUCCUGGUCAAGGCUCAUUCCAAAUGGACGCGGAGCUAUCAAUCCCAAAGGGCUGGAGUUCUACAAUAACCUCAUUGAUGAACUAGUGAACCAUGGAAUUCAAGUCCACAUCACACUUCACCAUCUAGAUCUCCCUCAGAUUCUUGAAGACGAGUACGGUGGAUGGUUAAGCCCCAGAAUUAUCGAAGAUUUCACAGCAUAUGCAGAUGUUUGCUUCAGGAAGUUUGGAGAUAGGGUUGCAUCUUGGACGACAGUGAAUGAGCCAAACAUUGGUAUGAUGGCCUCUUAUGAUGUUGCUAUAUUCCCUCCCGGCCGUUGCUCGGACCCAUUUGGAGCAACAAAGUGCACUGCUGGGGACUCUAGCGUGGAACCAUACAUAGCGGCUCAUAAUACCCUUUUGGCGCAUGCAUCAGUUGCUAGUCUUUACAGAGAAAAAUAUCAAGUCAUGCAAAAAGGAGUUGUUGGCAUAAGUAUCUACUCCUACUGGAGUUACCCGCUUACAAAUUCCACAGUGGAUUUAGAUGCAAGCCAGAGAUGUAAAGAUUUCUUAUUUGGCUGGAUACUGGACCCAUUGGUGUUUGGGGACUACCCAAAAGUAAUGAAGAAGAAUGUGGGCUCCCGCCUUCCAUCCUUCUCGAAAGUUCAGUCUGAACUUAUCAAGGGUUCUCUAGAUUUUAUUGGAAUAAAUCACUACUAUUCUCUCUACGUGAAUGAUCGCCCUCUAGAAACAGGCAUUCGGGACUACAACACGGACAUGUCGGUUGAUUCAAGGGGUUCUAGGACAGACCCACCACUUAGUCCGAGUGCCCCACCAAAUGUCCCAAGUGACCCCAAAGGGCUGCAACUUGUGCUGGAGUACCUGAAAGAAACCUACGCGGUUCCGGUCUAUGUCCAGGAGAAUGGCAAGCAUACUCCCAACCAGAAGCAAAAGUCUCAGCUGAAGAAGAAAGGUGCAUCGUUACUCAUGAUCGGCUACCUGAGCAGCUACAUGGAGAGCACACUGAACGCGAUGAGGAACGGAGCCGACGUGAGAGGCUACUUCGCGUGGGCGUUCAUGGACAUGUUCGAGCUCCUGUCAGGGUACCAGUCGAGGUACGGGCUGUACCGUGUCGACUUCGCCGACGAGAGGCGGCCGCGGCAGGCCAGGCACUUGGCUCGCUGGUACGCCGGCUUCCUCAAGCACAACGGAACCUCUGCGCUCGCGCCGAGAACGAAGGACCAGGAGAAGCUAAACGUCGUGUCCUGA
rnacentral:rRNA from 1 species